rnacentral:misc_RNA from 1 species
UCGACUCCUAUCUGUCCGUGUAUGCUAAAACGCAACUUUCGAACGACGUUCGGUGCCGAACGGCGAUCUCGCCGCGAGGCCCGACGCUCGCGAGGAAUGC